CAGAUUGCCACGUGGGGUUUCA
rnacentral:miRNA from 12 species